rnacentral:misc_RNA from 1 species
GAUGAAGAACGUAGCGAAAUGCGAUAAGUAAUGUGAAUUGCAGAAUUCAGUGAAUCAUCGAAUCUUUGAACGCAUCUUGCGCUCCCUGGUAUUCUGAGGAGCAUGCCUGUUUGAGUGUCAUUAAAUUCUCAACUACACUGACUUUGAAUUGGUGUGGCUUGGAUUUGGGGGGAAAAUUGUUGUGGGCUUUUUGUAUAGUCUGCUCCCCUGAAAUUGAUUAGCGGUACCUUUGUGGAACUGUCUACAGGUGUGAUAAUUAUCUACAUCUUAGACAUCUGCUGGAAUGCUGCUUUCUAAACCUUACUUGUAUUGACAAUCUUGACCUCAAAUCAGGUAGGACUACCCGCUGAACUUAAGCAUAUCAAUAAGCGGAGGA